GACGAACGCUGGCGGCGUGCCUAAUACAUGCAAGUAGAACGCUGAAGGAGGAGCUUGCUUCUCUGGAUGAGUUGCGAACGGGUGAGUAACGCGUAGGUAACCUGCCUGGUAGCGGGGGAUAACUAUUGGAACCGAUAGCUAAUACCGCAUAACAGUAGAUAUCGCAUGAUAUCUACUUGAAAGGUGCAAUUGCAUCACUACCAGAUGGACCUGCGUUGUAUUAGCUAGUUGGUGAGGUAACGGCUCACCAAGGCGACGAUACAUAGCCGACCUGAGAGGGUGAUCGGCCACACUGGGACUGAGACACGGCCCAGACUCCUACGGGAGGCAGCAGUAGGGAAUCUUCGGCAAUGGACGGAAGUCUGACCGAGCAACGCCGCGUGAGUGAAGAAGGUUUUCGGAUCGUAAAGCUCUGUUGUAAGAGAAGAACGAGUGUGAGAGUGGAAAGUUCACACUGUGACGGUAGCUUACCAGAAAGGGACGGCUAACUACGUG
rnacentral:rRNA from 1 species